GACGCUAUCCCACGUUUCGUAUAAUAAUUCAUUGACAACGCCAGUGGCGGCGCCUAGUCACAUUAAACUGUAAGUAACACUGUCAUAUAGAUCAGUAGUUAUUUUACUUAUCUUCAUUGAUAAGCCAACCCUCGAAAUUCGCCUCGGCGCUCGGCAAUUGCCGACGCAAAUGCCGAGGCAAGUUACGAUUUUUGAUAGUUUGCUGAGCGGCAAAAAAAUGCCGAGG